rnacentral:rRNA from 1 species
UGGGAGGACCAUCUCCUAAGGCUAAAUACUCUCUAGUGACCGAUAGUGAACCAGUACCGUGAGGGAAAGGUGAAAAGCACCCCGGAAGGGGAGUGAAAUAGAACCUGAAACCGUGUGCUUACAAGUAGUCAGAGCCCGUUAAUGGGUGAUGGCGUGCCUUUUGUAGAAUGAACCGGCGAGUUACGAUUUGAUGCAAGGUUAAGCAGUAAAUGUGGAGCCGUAGCGAAAGCGAGUCUGAAUAGGGCGUUUAGUAUUUGGUCGUAGACCCGAAACCAGGUGAUCUACCCUUGGUCAGGUUGAAGUUCAGGUAACACUGAAUGGAGGACCGAACCGACUUACGUUGAAAAGUGAGCGGAUGAACUGAGGGUAGCGGAGAAAUUCCAAUCGAACCUGGAGAUAGCUGGUUCUCUCCGAAAUAGCUUUAGGGCUAGCCUCAAGUGAUGAUUAUUGGAGGUAGAGCACUGUUUGGACGAGGGGCCCCUCUCGGGUUACCGAAUUCAGACAAACUCCGAAUGCCAAUUAAUUUAACUUGGGAGUCAGAACAUGGGUGAUAAGGUCCAUGUUCGAAAGGGAAACAGCCCAGACCACCAGCUAAGGUCCCAAAAUAUAUGUUAAGUGGAAAAGGAUGUGGCGUUGCCCAGACAACUAGGAUGUUGGCUU